rnacentral:rRNA from 1 species
ACCGUACCAUGCUGAAUAUACCGGUUCUCGUUAGAUCACCGAAGUCAAGCAUCAUUGGGCGCGGUCAGUACUUGGGUGGGUGACCACCUGGGAACACUGCGUGCCGUU